rnacentral:rRNA from 1 species
AGAGUUUGAUCCUGGCUCAGGAUGAACGCUGGCGGCGUGCUUAACACAUGCAAGUCGAACGGGGAUGCUUAUGGAAGGAGUGCUUGCACUUUGGAAAUGAGUAUCUUAGUGGCGGACGGGUGAGUAACGCGUGGGUAACCUGCCCCAUACCGGGGGAUACCACCUGGAAACAGGUGCUAAUACCGCAUAAGCGCACGGGAGCGCAUGCUCCUGCGUGAAAAACUCCGGUGGUAUGGGAUGGACCCGCGUCUGAUUAGCCAGUUGGCAGGGUAACGGCCUACCAAAGCGACGAUCAGUAGCCGGCCUGAGAGGGUGGACGGCCACAUUAGGACUGAGACACGGCCCAAACUCCUACGGGAGGCAGCAGUGGGGAAUAUUGCACAAUGGGGGAAACCCUGAUGCAGCGACGCCGCGUGAGUGAAGAAGUAUUUCGGUAUGUAAAGCUCUAUCAGCAGGAACGAGACAAGACGGUACCUGACUAAGAAGCCCCGGCUAACUACGUG